rnacentral:rRNA from 1 species
AGAGUUUGAUCCUGGCUCAGGAUGAACGCUAGCUACAGGCUUAACACAUGCAAGUCGAGGGGAAACGAUAGAGAAAGCUUGCUUUUUCUAGGCGUCGACCGGCGCACGGGUGAGUAACGCGUAUCCAACCUGCCCAUCACUUGGGGAUAACCUUGCGAAAGUAAGACUAAUACCCAAUGACGUCUCUAGAAGACAUCUGAAGGAGAUUAAAGAUUUAUCGGUGAUGGAUGGGGAUGCGUCUGAUUAGCUUGUUGGCGGGGUAACGGCCCACCAAGGCGACGAUCAGUAGGGGUUCUGAGAGGAAGGUCCCCCACAUUGGAACUGAGACACGGUCCAAACUCCUACGGGAGGCAGCAGUGAGGAAUAUUGGUCAAUGGACGAGAGUCUGAACCAGCCAAGUAGCGUGCAGGAUGACGGCCCUAUGGGUUGUAAACUGCUUUUAUAAGGGAAUAAAGUGAGUCUCGUGAGACUUUUUGCAUGUACCUUAUGAAUAAGGACCGGCUAAUUCCGUGCCAGCAGCCGCGGUAAUACGGAAGGUCCGGGCGUUAUCCGGAUUUAUUGGGUUUAAAGGGAGCGUAGGCCGGAGAUUAAGCGUGUUGUGAAAUGUAGACGCUCAACGUCUGCACUGCAGCGCGAACUGGUUUCCUUGAGUACGCACAAAGUGGGCGGAAUUCGUGGUGUAGCGGUGAAAUGCUUAGAUAUCACGAAGAACUCCGAUUGCGAAGGCAGCUCACUGGAGCGCAACUGACGCUGAAGCUCGAAAGUGCGGGUAUCGAACAGGAUUAGAUACCCUGGUAGUCCGCACGGUAAACGAUGGAUGCCCGCUGUUGGUCUGAAUAGGUCAGCGGCCAAGCGAAA